rnacentral:rRNA from 1 species
CUACGGGUGGCAGCAGUGGGGAAUAUUGCACAAUGGGCGCAAGCCUGAUGCAGCCAUGCCGCGUGUGUGAAGAAGGCCUUCGGGUUGUAAAGCACUUUCAGCGGGGAGGAAGGCGGUGAGGUUAAUAACCUCAUCGAUUGACGUUACCCGCAGAAGAAGCACCGGCUAACUCCGUGCCAGCAGCCGCGGUAAUACGGAGGGUGCAAGCGUUAAUCGGAAUUACUGGGCGUAAAGCGCACGCAGGCGGUCUGUCAAGUCGGAUGUGAAAUCCCCGGGCUCAACCUGGGAACUGCAUUCGAAACUGGCAGGCUAGAGUCUUGUAGAGGGGGGUAGAAUUCCAGGUGUAGCGGUGAAAUGCGUAGAGAUCUGGAGGAGUACCGGUGGCGAAGGCGGCCCCCUGGACAAAGACUGACGCUCAGGUGCGAAAGCGUGGGGAGCAAACAGGAUUAGAUACCCGUGUAGUC